UACGUAGGGUGCGAGCGUUAAUCGGAAUUACUGGGCGUAAAGCGUGCGCAGGCGGUUCGUUAUGUCCGAUGUGAAAGCCCCGAGCUCAACUUGGGAAUGGCAUUGGAAACUGGCGGGCUGGAGUGUGGCAGAGGGGGGUGGAAUUCCACGUGUAGCAGUGAAAUGCGUAGAGAUGUGGAGGAACACCGAUGGCGAAGGCAGCCCCCUGGGCCAACACUGACGCUCAGGCACGAAGCGUGGGAGCAAACAGGA
rnacentral:rRNA from 1 species